UAAAAGAUAUGUGACUUGAAAAAUGUGACUGUCUUCUGCCUAUACCCUGCCCUCAGGGAAGAUUGUGGCAUAUUACUGAACUAGGCAACCUAGUGAUGUGUCUCUUCUGACAGGGGUUUGCCCACAUAGACAAUUGUGACAUAUCACUGGGCUCAGGACCCAGGUGAUGUGACUCUGCUGCCUGUUCCCAACGUUCAAGAGAGGAUUGUAACAUAUCCCUGGCCAAGAACUCAGACUUUCCUGCAGGAGUGAUGCUGACAUGUUCCUCUAUUUGGCAUCUGAGUGAUAUGACCCUUGCCAUGGUCUAGCCCACAGAUGGAAUUGUGAUGUGUUGCUCUACCCAGCACCUAGGUGAUGUGACUCCAUUUUUCUGCCUUGACACUGUCCAUAAAAGGUAUUUUGACAUAUCUCUGGGAUAUGUACCCAGGUUACAUGACUCUCCUGCCUGUGUCCUGUCCACAAAUUAUGAAAUAUUACUGGGUCCAACACCCAGGGAUGUAACUCUCAUGCCUAGGCCCUGCCAACAGGGGGCAUUAUGACAAAUCUGUGUGCCAAUAACCCAGGUAAUGUGACUCUCUUUUUUUGCAUGGUCCCUGCUCACAGGGGGCAUUAUGACAUAUUGCUGAACUCAGCAUCUAACUGAUGUGAUUCUCCUUUCUACUUUUUGCCCACAGUGGAGAUUGUGACAUAUCACUGGGCCUCAAACUAAUGUGAUGUUACACUUUCAUUUUUGAACUGAACUCAGAAGGCACUGUGACAUAUUCCUGGGAACAGCACCAAGGUUAUCCCACUGUUGAGGUCCUGAAUCUCCCACCCAGAGGCAGUGGAAAGUUGGAGAAUUAACUCUCAUGCGUGGAUCUGAUACAUAGCCACAGGUGGGAGAGUGACUCAUAUCUGAACCCAACUAAGAGGCACAGUCAUGAUUUUCAUACCUGGACCCAGCCAAUAUGAGAGGUGUUGACUCUCAUACCUGGACUUAGGAAAAGAGCCCACAGUAAAAAGUGUCACCCUCCCACAUGAAUAGAGACCACUGAUGAGCUUCUGAAUUGUACAUCUGGAUGCAGUUGAAAGCUGGAAUUCUGAUUCUCGUAUGUGCAUUUUGUCCAGAGGUAGAUGAUGACUCUAGGAUCAGGGUUCAUCACACAGGCCAUGCCAGUUGAGGGGGAUUGUGACAUAUCGUUGGACCAGCACAAGGGAAAUUGAAAACUCCUGCCUAGGCCAUUCCCAUAGAAGGCAUUGUGACAUAUCACUGGUCACAGCACACAGGUGAGAAUUUUACAUAAAACUGCACCCAGCACACAGGUGAAAUUGUGACUCUUGGAUGUUCAUCCAGCCAACAGUUAUGAGUGUCAUCAUCGCACAUGGACAGAGAACUCUGUUUAUCUACUUUAUUAUUACAUUCAAAGAACAGCACUAAUUUUACUCAGAUGUUAUUAUCCCUGAGUAACAAAUGAGUCGGAGAAGUCGAGAAACUUGCCCAAGGUUACACAGGUACUCUGAGCCUGCUCUUCUAACCACUGAACACAUGGUGUCAUCCAGGAAACACAUAUGCAAUACUAUUUCUAAAGGUACAUAAAAUCACAUUAUACACAUGCAAAUAUGUGUAAAGAUAAAAUGAACCUAUACAGUGUUUACCUGCAGAAAAGUCACUGGUUGAGGGUGUAGAAGGUCACAUGGA
rnacentral:lncRNA from 1 species